rnacentral:snoRNA from 1 species
GAAGGUUGCGAUGAGGAUAUCAAGCUCCCUCUUCUGAAAUGAAAGUUGAGGACGAUCGCUGGCAGAAUCGAACCUAAUAAUUAAAAUGCCACCACUGAGUAA